AUUGAACGCUGGCGGCAGGCCUAACACAUGCCAGUCGAGCGGAUGAAGGGAGCUUGCUCCUGGAUUCAGCGGCGGACGGGUGAGUAAUGCCUAGGAAUCUGCCUGGUAGUGGGGGAUAACGUCCGGAAACGGGCGCUAAUACCGCAUACGUCCUGAGGGAGAAAGUGGGGGAUCUUCGGACCUCACGCUAUCAGAUGAGCCUAGGUCGGAUUAGCUAGUUGGUGGGGUAAAGGCCUACCAAGGCGACGAUCCGUAACUGGUCUGAGAGGAUGAUCAGUCACACUGGAACUGAGACACGGUCCAGAGUCCUACGGGAGGCAGCAGUGGGGAAUAUUGGACAAUGGGCGAAAACCUGAUCCAGCCAUGCCGCGUGUGUGGAGAAGGUCUUCGGAUUGUAAAGCACUUGAAGUUGGGAGGAAGGGCAGUAAGUUAAUACCUUGCUGUUUUGACGUUACCAACAGAAUAAGCACCGGCUAACUUCGUG
rnacentral:rRNA from 1 species